rnacentral:rRNA from 1 species
CCUACGGGGGGCAGCAGUAGGGAAUAUUGCUCAAUGGGGGAAACCCUGAAGCAGCAACGCCGCGUGGAGGAUGAAGGUUUUCGGAUUGUAAACUCCUUUUGUUAGAGAAGAUAAUGACGGUAUCUAACGAAUAAGCACCGGCUAACUCCGUGCCAGCAGCCGCGGUAAUACGGAGGGUGCAAGCGUUAUUCGGAAUCACUGGGCGUAAAGAGCGCGUAGGCGGGUUAGCAAGUCAGAUGUGAAAUCCUAUGGCUUAACCAUAGAACUGCAUUUGAAACUGUUAUUCUAGAGUAUGGGAGAGGUAGGUGGAAGUCGUGGUGUAGGGGUAAAAUGCGUAGAGAUCAAGAGGAAUACUCAGUGCGAAGGCGACCUGCUAGAACAUAACUGACGCUGAUGCGCGAAAGCGUGGGGAGCAAACAGGAUUAGAUACCCCAGUAGUC